CCUACGGGAGGCAGCAGUGAGGAAUAUUGGUCAAUGGCCGGAAGGCUGAACCAGCCAUGCCGCGUGCAGGAAGACGGCUCUAUGAGUUGUAAACUGCUUUUGUACGAGGGUAAACGCAGAUACGCGUAUCUGUCUGAAAGUAUCGUACGAAUAAGGAUCGGCUAACUCCGUGCCAGCAGCCGCGGUAAUACGGAGGAUACAAGCGUUAUCCGGAUUUAUUGGGUUUAAAGGGUGCGUAGGCGGUCGGAUAAGUUAGAGGUGAAAUCCCGAGGCUCAACUUCGGAAUUGCCUCUGAUACUGUUCGGCUAGAGAGUAGUUGCGGUAGGCGGAAUGUAUGGUGUAGCGGUGAAAUGCUUAGAGAUCAUACAGAACACCGAUUGCGAAGGCAGCUUACCAAGCUACUUCUGACGUUGAGGCACGAAAGCGUGGGGAGCAAACAGGAUUAGAUACCCCUGUAGUC
rnacentral:rRNA from 1 species